UAAUCGGCCCUUUUCAGGGCCAACACAUUUUUAGAACGUUGGAACA
rfam:Lasius niger Lnig_2.1_9111, whole genome shotgun sequence.